AGGAUGCAAUGCCAACUUGUUGCUAGAUAAGAAUUUCCCAUGUUCAUAAUUAGUAUAACCAUGUCAAAGCUAUAUUUAGAUUGGAUUUUAUUCUUAUUGUAUAAAUUGGAUUUGGGUCUAAUACACCCUACACAUGCUAUUCUGAUAAUACCCACAGAUGUUACGGAAGCGGUUAUUCUGCUCCCGAGCACAGGUGCAAUCGGUAUCUGGGCAGCUCAUUUUGUCAUUUGGAUGCGCUGCAUUAAAUUAUAAGCCAGUCAGUGGUUCGUUUUUAAAUCAAGUGGGGAGGAAAUACAGUAGACGGCGGGGGCAUACGGGUUGCCGGUCACAGCGCGCGCAGAUGCCGCUGUGACGGAAGGAGAGCCGAGCCGUGGCUCGGGACUGUCAUAUUUUCCUGAUCCGUAGCUCAGGAAAUCAGUUUUCCGUUAGCCGGCGGUGCCCCGGGCUAGUAAAUGAGGAAUGGAUCCGAGGCGGAGUUGUCUCCUACCUCUUGCUACGCCUGUUGGAUCUCCAUUGACGACUGCGGCCUGCUGAGCAGUAGCGGGUGGCGCUAGUUGGGAUGCAGUUCUUGAUGAAGCCCAUUAGAAGGACGGCUGUGGUGGAGGAGGUGAACGACAACGAGCUUCCAACUGAGCCGCCACACUACCCCGCCGUCGCGGUAUCAAUUGAAGAGCUACCCCCAUGGCAAUAGCUAGCGCAGAGGGACAGAUUUGUGCAGCGGUUGGGGAAGGAGCGGCCGGGGUGUAUGUUGAACCGCCAGCAGAGCAGUCAAUUGAUCAGAUUGACCGAGAAACUCCAGGCUAGACUCGAAGGGUGAGAAUUGGAGCUGCUGCUCCAGGAUGGACGACCUGCCCUAGGCAGCCCAGCGCCCUUGAGAAAGCAAUUCGUGGAUUCGUUGACAAACCGGGUGAAAAUGUAAUCGUGCUUGCCCUGGGUACAGGCUUUGAUACACUCGGCGAGGCGUACAAUUUUUACAAUCUCUACUCUUGGGAGAAGGGUUCAUGUCUCAUAAAGAAUUGCAUGAUAGAGAUGCAGCCUUUUGCUGAAGUUAGGGAUGGGCUAGGAUCGGAGGACAUGAUAGCUGAAAAUGGAGAUGUCAUCAAUCAGCUGCUGGUGCAAACGGCAAUUGCUGCUGCUAGCGGAGAUGCAACUAUUGGGAGCAGGCUUGUUGUAUUGUUGGCACCAAAGAAGCGGAAAGAGAUGGGGCGCCCAACAACUAGCCGGGAGAAAGCACCAUACGAGGGCCUUAGCAAACGGACAAGGUUCUGCGCUAUAUGUCGCCGGCAGGGGCAGAAGAGGACAACCUGCCCGGACCGGGGUGACAUUUCAAAGCCUGUCCGCAAACUAGCUAGGUGCAAAGAUCAUGGCAUCGAAGGUCGGGGGGGGGGGGGGGGGGGGGGGGGGGUGUUAUUCCAUAUGUAGAACUCAUCCUGUUUCAUGUUCCCUGAGUGUACUGGCUAGUUGUUAGUCGUAGCAAUUGCCGAAAUGCCUUGUUUGGGAAUAAAAGGGAAACUUAUCUGCAUGAAUGUUUUGACUCAAUUUAUGAUGGUAUGCACAAUGUACGUGCGCUGAUAGGAUGCUGUCAUUUUUUCAUGAAUUUUCUGACAUUAUGGCCAUGCUUUCUGAAUUUUGUCACAGUAAGCUAUUCAAGACUGAAAUUCCCAAGGGAUAUGAUAUUGCAUCACGAAUUUUUGUAAGCAUC